rnacentral:rRNA from 1 species
GAUAAACGCUGGCGGCGCACAUAAGACAUGCAAGUCGAACGGACUUAACCAUUAGUUUACUGAUGGAGCGGUUAGUGGCGGACUGGUGAGUAACACGUAAGCAACCUGCCUAUCAGAGGGGAACAACAGUUAGAAAUGACUGCUAAUACCGCAUAUGCCUAAGUACCACAUGGUACAAUAGGGAAAGGAGCAAUCCGCUGAUAGAUGGGCUUGCGUCUGAUUAGAUAGUUGUGGGGUAACGGCCUACCAAGUCGACGAUCAGUAGCCGGACUGAGAGGUUGAACGGCCACAUUGGGACUGAGAUACGGCCCAGACUCCUACGGGAGGCAGCAGUCGGGAAUAUUGCGCAAUGGAGGAAACUCUGACGCAGUGACGCCGCGUGCAGGAAGAAGGUUUUCGGAUUGUAAACUGCUUUAGACAGGGAAGAAACAAGACAGUACCUGUAGAAUAAGCUCCGGCUAACUACGUGCCAGCAGCCGCGGU